rnacentral:rRNA from 1 species
UACGGGGGGGGGCAAGCGUUGUUCGGAAUUACUGGGCGUAAAGGGCUCGUAGGUGGCCAACUAAGUCAGACGUGAAAUCCCCUCGGCUUAACCGGGGAACUGCGUCUGAUACUGGAUGGCUUGAAGUUCGGGAGAGGGAUGCGGAAUUCCAGGUGUAGCGGUGAAAUGCGUAGAUAUCUGGAGGAACACCGGUGGCGAAGGCGGCAAUCCGUGGACCCGGCAUUGGACGCUGAGGCG